UCUUAGUUUCUUUAUUUUCUCUCUUAGGUCAUCUCAAAAUGCUUUUAAUGCAUGAAUGAAUAAUCAAUUCAUAAAUGAAGAACAGACAAACGGAAGGAUGCAAAUGGACAAGAGCAAUACAACAAAUAAAAUUCAUUUUGUUAACAUAAAAAAAAUCCCCUCUAGUCUACGAUCCUCUCAAUGAACACUAGAGGGUACUGCACAAUUCAGAGACUGUCAGGUAUGAUUAUGAAAAACAUUUCAGUUAAUCUUUUCAGUAUUUCAUGUCACCUACUGUGACAUGAAGAAUGUAUUUGUUUUACUAUAAGAGUGUAAAACAUUUCCCGUUUAGAUUCUUUACAAAAAAAUUAACACAAUGAAAUGUAACCCACAACAAUGUACCAGUUCACAAGAAUGUAACAUUAAAACAGACGGGAUAAUACUUGUAGGAGAUUUACACACAAUCUCAAACUCAAAAACACAAGGUGACAGUGGUUCUAUUACUUAUACUGAUAACUUGCUCAAAACAGUUAUUCAUGCAUGCAAUUUUGUUUCCAAAAAUUUUUUAUAAUAAUUGUCUCAAAUUGUUUUUACAGAUCCAGAAAUGGAAGACACAAAAUUCCAAAUACACGAAGGCCAAUCACAUAUGAUAAGGUUCCUUAUGUAAUCCCACAGAAAUGUUUCUCUGUAAACAACACCUUUCGCCGAUAAACCAGUGUGUUUCAUCAAAGACAUCAUGAAUGGAUGGUCAAACAUAUUGUAAGUCACGUAAUGCAGGAGUGAUCUAUUUUUAAAUAUGUUUAUUUUGUGUGUAAAUUCCUGAUUCACAGCAACAUACCGAAAUUCAAGCAUUUCUCUCCCCACAACAUUCAUUUAUUUCCCCUUUAAAAGAACAGAAAGUACAUUGCAUGGAAUGGCAGGAUGCAACUCUCUAGCUAAAUUAAGAUGAUCUGAAUUUAAAAAGUUUUCGCAUUUAAAUUUGACAGCAACACAUAAUACACAUUUGGGGAGACGGAGGGUUGUCUGCAACGGUGUUAUUUUCCCUUCAUAGCAACACUACAUUCACUGCCUCUGUGCAAAGGUUAUUAAAAACUUAAAACUGGGGACUAAAAUAUAUGCUUAGUGUCAAAGUGUUCCUGCACAAAACCAAACACUAGUGCUUGACACAGGCAUGAAAGUGACUAAAUGAAAAAAGUAUGCAUACUUCUUCCAUCAAACCCUAAAAUCAUCUAUACAGAACAGGGACAAAUAAAAA